UGAGACACUGAUGGGUAUUUUUAGCUUGAAUAUGAGGAAAGUGUCCUGCUUUGUUCAAAGUGGGAAAUGUAUCACUUCAUUGACAGGUAUGACCAAUAUGUAAAUACACUGGCAAGGAUUUAUGAGGAACAAAGCAGUUUUACGAGUUUAUUGCCUAAAGGCCGAUAAAUACCAAUGGUCUUCUUUGUGUCUCGUGUGCUUACAUAGUGUUAUUCUAAAUAGAUGCAAUGGGAAAUUAGAGAGUAAUUAGAGAGAUCUGGCAUGUUUGAUCAAAAUUUAAGCUGUGAAAAAUGUU